UACGUAGGGGGCGAGCGUUGUCCGGAUUUAUUGGGCGUAAAGAGCGUGUAGGCGGCCAGGUAGGUCUGCUGUGAAAACUCGAGGCUCAACCUCGAGACGUCGGCGGAAACCAUCUGGCUAGAGUCCGGAAGAGGAGAGUGGAAUUCCUGGUGUAGCGGUGAAAUGCGCAGAUAUCAGGAGGAACACCAAUAGCGAAGGCAGCUCGCUGGGACGUUACUGACACUGAGGCGCGAAAGCGUGGGGAGCAAACAGG
rnacentral:rRNA from 1 species